UUCCAUCUGUAGCCUGGAAGCAGAGAGAGAUGGAUAUGGGUGCUCAGCUUGCCUUCUCUGUUUCACUCAGCCCAGGACCCCAGGCUUCGGGACAGUGUUGCCCACAUUCGGGAUAGAUCUUCCUUCAUCUAUUAAAUAGUUUUGGGAACCCUGUAAUUGAUACAGCUUACAGACGGAGACACUGUGGGUGCCCAUGCUCACUGCACAGAUGAAGGUGGAGGCAAAGAUUUGUAAGCUGAAAGCUGGACAUGCAACUGUGGCAGAAAUGAAGGGGAGGACAGGAGUGCUGCGGAUAGUGUGUCCUUUGAGUCUGUGUCAGCUCUAAUGAUGGAAGAACCUUUUGAGCCAGAGGUCUAAACUGAAACCAGACAUGCCUAAACAUAUCCUAGUCUGCUUUAUGGUGUUAUAAGAGAAGACCUGAAACUGGAUGAUUCAGAAAGGACCUGGAACUGCUCUAUAGUCCUGGAAGUUAGGCAUGUGUCUGAUGACAGCUCUAGGCAGGCCAUUCCACUGUGGGGUGGCUUAAAGCAGAGGUGUCAAGAGAGAGAGAGCAAGAGAGGCAGAGGGGUCCAAACCUACUCUGACAAAAAACCCAACCAUGCUGUAACAAAACUAGCUCCCCAGGUCAUGACUUCAAUUUCUGCCUGACCCAGUCAGUUCUUAAAGGUUAAACUUCUCAACUCA